UACGAAGGGGGCUAGCGUUGCUCGGAAUCACUGGGCGUAAAGGUGCGUAGGCGGGUUUUUAAGUCAGAGGUGAAAUCCUGGAGCUCAACUCCAGAACUGCCUUUGAUACUGAAAGUCUUGAGUAUGGGAGAGGUGAGUGGAACUGCGAGUGUAGAGGUGAAAUUCGUAGAUAUUCGCAAGAACACCAGUGGCGAAGGCGGCUCACUGGCCCGAUACUGACGCUGAGGUGCGAAAGCGUGGGAGCAAACAGG
rnacentral:rRNA from 1 species